UCCCGGGGAACAUUCAACGCUGUCGGUGAGUUUCUGGCCUUGAAAAACCAUCGAGCGUUGAAUGUACCCCGUUC
rnacentral:pre_miRNA from 1 species